GUUAAAAAGCUCGUAGCCGACUCUCGGGGCUGUUGGAACGGUCCGCAGAAAUGUGAGCACUGUUUCAGCCGCCUCUUCCUUCUGGAUUUCAUGUCUUCUCUUCACUGAGCGGAUGUGAGGGCCAGAUCGUUCACUUUGAACAAAUUGGAGUGUUCAAAGCAGGCCUCCGCCUGAAUACUUGAGCAUGAAAUGAUAUCAAUAGGUUCUUCCUUCUCGUUUAUUGGUGAUGAGAAGGAAGAAAAUGAGAAAGGGGAAUGGUUGGGGCCAUUCGUACUGCAGCGUUAGAGGUGAAAUUCUUGGAUCGCUGCAAGACGAACAACAGCGAAAGCAUUUGGCAAGAACGUUUCCACCGGUCAAGAACGAAAGUUAAGGGAUCGAAGACGAUCAGAUACCGCCGUAGUCUUAACCAUAAACUAUGCCGACUAGAGAUCGGUGGAUGUUAUUUUAUGACUCCAUCAGCAUCUUAUGAGAAAUCAAAGUCUUUGGGUUCCGGGGGGAGUAUGGUCGCAAGGCUGAAACUUAAAGGAAUUGACGGAAGGGCACCACCAAGAGUGGAGCCUGCGGCUCAAUUUGACUCAACACGGGAAAACUUACCAGGUCCAGACAUAGUAAGGAUUGACAGAUUGAUAGCU
rnacentral:rRNA from 1 species